UAAUAGCUCACUGGUCGAGUCGGCCUGCGCGGAAGAUGUAACGGGGCUAAACCAUGCACCGAAGCUGCGGCAGCGACACUAUGUGUUGUUGGGUAGGGGAGCGUUCUGUAAGCCGUUGAAGGUGUGCUGUGAGGCAUGCUGGAGGUAUCAGAAGUGCGAAUGCUGACAUAAGUAACGAUAAAGCGGGUGAAAAGCCCGCUCGCCGGAAGACCAAGGGUUCCUGUCCAACGUUAAUCGGGGCAGGGUGAGUCGACCCCUAAGGCGAGGCCGAAAGGCGUAGUCGAUGGGAAACAGGUUAAUAUUCCUGUACUUGGUGUUACUGCGAAGGGGGGACGGAGAAGGCUAUGUCAGCCGGGCGACGGUUGUCCCGGUUUAAGCAUGUAGGCGGAGGUUCCAGGUAAAUCCGGUACCUUUUAACGCUGAGGUGUGAUGACGAGGCACUACGGUGCUGAAGUGAUAAAUGCCCUGCUUCCAGGAAAAGCCUCUAAGC
rnacentral:rRNA from 1 species